rnacentral:lncRNA from 1 species
AGAAAUGGUUUAAAACCGAAUCAAUCCACUUAUAAAUCGAUUUUAAAAAAAUAAAUUGAUUUUAUGAAAAUAGUUUUAAGAUCCAAACUGAAACAUAUAUGAUCCAAUUUAAUUUGAUUUAUGAUCACGGCUACUUAUUACAUAUCAUUACUAUCACCGCUACUUAUUACAUAUCAUUACUAUCACUUAGCCUUAUCAUUACUAUCACCCCUACUUAUUACAUAUCAUUACUAUCACUUAGCCUUAGAGUACAAAGUCCAUAACUUAAAGAUUCGUGAAAUUAAGAUAAGAAAAAUAAAUAAAUAAUUCAAUUAUUAGACACCACCAAAAACAUUAAAUGACAACUUAGUGUAUAUUCUAAAAUAAAAGACAUUAUAUAGAUUUUUUUGCUACUGCAAAAACUAAUUUUUCCUUUCAAUGCAUGUGUACUCAUAGUUCCCAAGGCAAUACACGAGAACCAACACAUGUACAUGAUAUACCCAUACACUUCACAACACUAGGAGGCAAGCACAUGUUUUGUGGACAAUCGGAAUCUGUCUUGCAUCUAAUUGCUGCUGUAAUAAAUAAAUAAAAAGAAUGCAAUAAUGUUAAAAAAUAAGACAAAAUAUUGUGCAUGAAUUAAUGAAUUCUGAAGUAGAUAAGGAAAUUUAAAAGAAUAAAAAAUGGAUACCAUUAACAUUCAUUGCAGCAAGAUAUAGUGAAAAAAAUAGAAUUAUAAGAUAAACAAAAUUGAAAAUUGCAGCCAUGUUAUUUCUUAUUUGUGUGUAUUAGAAAAUGGAAUUUGAUCACUAUUUUAUAAUGUAUACAACUUAUGCUCUAACAAAAUAGUUAAGAUUGCUUUUGCUUGCACAUAUGGAGUUAUAAAAAAACCUUUUCUAACAUUGAGUUGUAAUUACGUAUUUUUUAAAUAAAUCAUUGUGUUAUGUUUG